UGCAAGUCGAACGCGAAAGUCCUUCGGGAUGAGUAGAGUGGCGGACGGGUGAGUAACGCGUAGGAAUCUGUCCUGUAGUGGGGGAUAACGUUUCGAAAGGAACGCUAAUACCGCAUACGCCCCACGGGGGAAAGCGGGGGAUCUUCGGACCUCGUGCUAUAGGAGGAGCCUGCGUCGGAUUAGCUAGUUGGUGAGGUAAAGGCUCACCAAGGCGACGAUCCGUAGCUGGUCUGAGAGGAUGAUCAGCCACACCGGAACUGAGACACGGUCCGGACUCCUACGGGAGGCAGCAGUGGGGAAUAUUGCGCAAUGGGCGAAAGCCUGACGCAGCCAUACCGCGUGUGUGAAGAAGGCCUUCGGGUUGUAAAGCACUUUCAGUGGGGAGGAAAAGCUGGUGGCUAAUAUCCACCGGCCGUGAGGCUACCCACAGAAGAAGCACCGGCUAAUUCCGUGCCAGCAGCCGCGGUAAUACGGAAGGUGCGAGCGUUAAUCGGAAUUACUGGGCGUAAAGCGCACGUAGGCGGCUUGGUAAGUCGGAUGUGAAAGCCCCGGGCUCAACCUGGGAACGGCAUUCGAUACUGCUGAGCUAGAGUACGAAAGAGGGGGGUGGAAUUCCAGGUGUAGCGGUGAAAUGCGUAGAGAUCUGGAGGAACACCGGUGGCGAAGGCGGCCCCUCUGGUUCGAUACUGACGCUGAGGUG
rnacentral:rRNA from 1 species